GUGGGGAAUCUUGCGCAAUGGGCGAAAGCCUGACGCAGCCAUGCCGCGUGAAUGAUGAAGGUCUUAGGAUUGUAAAAUUCUUUCACCGGGGACGAUAAUGACGGUACCCGGAGAAGAAGCUCCGGCUAACUUCGUGCCAGCAGCCGCGGUAAUACGAAGGGGGCUAGCGUUGCUCGGAAUUACUGGGCGUAACGGGCGCGUAGGCGGACAGCUUAGUCAGAGGUGAAAGCCCAGGGCUCAACGUUGGAAUUGCCUUGGAUACUGGCUGUCUUGAGUUUGGGAGAGGUGAGUGGAACUCCGAGUGUAGAGGUGAAAUUCGUAGAUAUUCGGAAGAACGCCGGUGGCGAAGGCGACUCACUGGCCCAAUACUGACGCUGAGGCGCGAAAGCGUGGGGAGCAAACAGGAUUAGAAACCCGUGUAGUCC
rnacentral:rRNA from 1 species